rnacentral:lncRNA from 1 species
GCUACGUGUUUCCUCCACCUGGAAUCCCAGCCGAGCCACGGAUCCCAGGAGCGGAUCCUUUCUAGUCAGCAACCCCCCGCCCGGUUCGGCGCAGGGGCCUCAGUUGCGUGCAUCUGAAGCGCAGAUGAGGAACGCAGCGGCCAAACUCCGGCAAAGAAGCGGCGCCUCCUCGCCGCGCACCUACUCGCGCCGCCCGAAAGCCACGCGCAGAGUCCCCUCCCCCAUCCCCUCCGGUCCCGAACCCUCAGCUCCCAAGCGUCCCAGAUGCCACCAGGAGCGUCCACUCCUGAGAAGGGCGCCGGGGCCAGGGCGCAAUGUGGUCCCCCGUGGGUCUCCUGAACCCGGCCCUCGCUCCGCCGGGGGUCCGGCUUCCCAGCCCUCCAUCUCGAGUUCCGAGAACGGGCUCCGAGACUCGGCGAGGCAAACCCCCCCGGCCCGCCCGGCCCUCGUGCCCGCCGCUCGCCGGAGCGGAGCCCACAUCUGCGCAGAGACCCAGGGUGGGGUAGCGGCGCGGUGGGCGCUGGCCCCGGCGGGCCGGGGACGCGGAACCGUUUCCGCGGAAGCUCUCGGCGGAGGCAGGGGGACGCCACAGUGCAGAACUUCAGACUGUCCUGUGGGAUGAACUUUCCUCUUUCAUCACACCUAUUCUAAGGUUUCUUUACCUGUAUCCUCAU